UGGGAAACAGGUUAAUAUUCCUGUACUUGGUGUUACUGCGAAGGGGGGACGGAGAAGGCUAUGUUGGCCGGGCGACGGUUGUCCCGGUUUAAGCGUGUAGGCUGGUUUUCUAGGCAAAUCCGGAAAACUAAGGCUGAGGCGUGAUGACGAGGCACUACGGUGCUGAAGCAACAAAUGCCCUGCUUCCAGGAAAAGCCUCUAAGCAUCAGGUAACAUCAAAUCGUACCCCAAACCGACA
rnacentral:rRNA from 1 species